ACCUUACCAGGGCUUGACAUCCAGUGCAAAGCUAUAGAGAUAUAGUGGAGGUUAACAUUGAGACAGGUGGUGCAUGGUUGUCGUCAGUUCGUGCCGUGAGGUGUUGGGUUAAGUCCCGCAACGAACGCAACCCUUGUCGUUAGUUACUAACAUUAAGUUGAGGACUCUAACGAGACUGCUAGUGUAAGCUAGAGGAAGGUGGGGAUGACGUCAAAUCAUCAUGCCCCUUAUGUCCUGGGCUACACACGUGCUACAAUGGCUGGUACAAAGAGUCGCAAUCUCGCGAGGGGGAGCUAAUCUCAAAAAGCCAGUCUCAGUUCGGAUUGAAGUCUGCAACUCGACUUCAUGAAGCCGGAAUCACUAGUAAUCGCGAAUCAGCUAUGUCGCGGUGAAUACGUUCUCGGGUCUUGUACACACCGCCCGACACACCACGAGAGUUGGUAAU
rnacentral:rRNA from 1 species